AAAGGACACCUUCAAAACGGAUUUGGAAAUCAUUAACGACAAACCACAAGAGGAGUGUGUUUUUCCGAAAAAUACCAAAGUGGAGGGAAACUGUAUCAUCACAUGUAACAUGACAAAGCUGCAGAAAAUCAUCAUUGAU